UGCAUAUCUAAGUAGUCUGGGGUUGUCGAUAUCAUUUGUGUCAGUUAAAUAAAAGAGUAGAAACUAGCUCUUUAAGUAUAAAUGCAAAUAAUAUAUAACGAUGCAGGGAUUUUGCACACUACAUGAAUCACUUGAUAUAUCACGGAUUACGGAGUUUAGUCUUCCUGGAAAAAGCAAUGGCAGCACAGUAUACACGUGACGAGAUAUUAUCAGCAGACAGUACAGAGUUGCGUAUGUGCGUGUUUUAAUCUGUGCUGCUAGCAUUCGUUCCCUUCUCCGAGGGUCUCCGUAGUUUUUCGUGGGAGAAACCGUGCUGUAAAAUUGUGGAGGUUUGGUUUUGAGUGUUUGAUGAUUGAAAAGGGAUGUGAAAUGUUAUGAUGACAGAUUUAAUCAAUUUAUGUUAUUACUUAGAGUGGCGAAGUAAUAUCAAUACAGCUACAAGAAUACAGGAAUAGUAUUUUUAUAAAAUUGGCGUUUAUAUGUGGUUUCAACUCCAAUGCAUUCCGUGGUCCGUCCUAACCUAUAAAUACAAGGUUUUGGUACACAAUGGCAGAGCCUAAAGAUCUGGACAGUCUGGGUUCCAAGGACAAGUCUCAGAAUAUUGAGGAUGUUGGUGAAUGUCACAUAGCUUCUUCUGUGGACCAUUCUUCAGAUUCAUGUCUGGUUGAGAAAGAGGAGGAGAGGAUUCCAGAGGAAGAGAGGGGGAAUGAAGAUGUUUUGGAAGGUAGAACAGAAAUAGAAGAACAGUUGGAUAAAAUCUCUAUCAAAGACUCGCCCAAAGAAGAGGAUCAUAAGGAGCCUUGUUGCACAGAAGUAGACUGUACACCUCCAUUAAAAAGUGUUAAGGAAAGAGACAUAGAUGAUUGCAUUUACCACCUAAAAUGGAUAGUGUGGCAUGACCGGAAAGCACCCAUAGUAACACAAAAUGAAAAUGGACCAUGUCCUCUGAUCGCUAUAUCAAACAUUUUAUUGUUGAAAGGGAAGAUCAUGCUUCCUUCUGCUAUGGAAAUUAUAACAGCCAAGCAGCUUAUGGAAUAUAUUGGGGAUAUGAUACUCCAGAAUGUCCCUAAGAAUUUGACUUUGCCCCGUCAGUUGAACUAUGAGCAGAAUAUGCAUGAUGCUAUUGCUGUUCUUCCAAGACUCCACACAGGAUUAGAUGUCAAUGUCAAAUUCACAGGAGUACAGGAUUUUGAAUACACACCAGAAUGUAUAAUAUUCGAUUUGCUCAACAUCACCCUUUAUCAUGGAUGGCUUGUUGACCCACAGUGUCACGAUACUGUAAAUGCACUUGGGUCUUUGGGAUACAACCAAAUAGUUGAGAAGAUUAUCCUUAACAAGUGUUCAAGUGAGAUUGAUUUAGUUACUGAAGCAUUGGUAGCAGAAGAGUUCCUUGAGCGCACUGCCUCACAGUUGACUUACCAUGGGCUGUGUGAGCUGAAUACAGCUAUGGGGCAUGAUGAACUUGCUGUAUUAUUUCGGAAUAAUCACUUCAGUACGAUAUUUAAAAAGAAGGUGUGUGGCCCUGUGGAUGAAGCCUCUUCAAGUUUGUUGGGCAUGUCACAGGAAUUGAAUGAACUGUUCCAGUUGGUGACAGACCAGGGGUUUUUACAUGAACCUCGUGUAGUGUGGGAAACAUUAUCAAACAUAGAGGGUGAUGGCAUGUUUGUAGAUGGCCGAUUUGUGACGGUGCCACCCAAGGCGUCUGGGCCAUAUCGCGCACUCGCCGUCGAUGCAUCUGAAGACCAGCAAAUCAAUCAUGAUUACCUGGUGGCUUUGUCACUUCAAGAAGACCAGAAGAAGCAGCAAGAAAGUGAACAGGCUUGGGAGGAAUUCAAACAGAUGCAGGAGAUCACGUCUGAGUCAUGUGUGUAUCCCACCACAAAAACUGAUUUUGAUACAGCUUGCAGCUGUUUUAUUCUGUUUAUAGUGAAGAGUUGUCUCAUCAUCUCCAUGAAGAUGAACAGCGACAUGUGCAGAAUCUAGUCCCUGUUGCUGCAAUGUUACAUGGUCACACCCGCCCAUAUGCUCAUGCACAGCCCACUUCAGGGGACCGAAACAAAAAGGGAUCGUGCAUCAUCAUCUGAUGACAACUGACCCCACUCCAUGUCUUACAUCUACAAAGCCUUGGAGUUUAUAUUGUACAUGGAAAUGAUAUAUAUGAGUAUAUUUUAAGAGUAUUUUACUGACACCAAUGUGCUUUUUCACUGAAUCUUCAAUUUUCCAUGAUGGAUACAAAUUACUGUAUUUUGUCUUAAAAGAUGUAAUUUAUUAUAUUAAUUUUUGUGUAAUAUUCAAUUACAAUUCUGUAUACACAAAUUUGAAAUGAAGCAAGUGGUCAUUGGGCUACAUAUUGGCGGUGCUAUGAUACAGUGUGGAUGCAUAUGCAGCGCAUUGUUCUUAUUUCCAUUGAGUGUAUCUGUGGUAUUAAUAUAGGACAAGAAAAGAAGUUGCUUAAAUUUAAGACAUGUAUUAUAUCUGCGACAUACAUAAGUGAAAUACUGUUCAUACAGUUUAAAUUUUGAAGUGUUGAAUUUUCCCAGUGAAUUACAAUAUAACUAAAUUUGUGGACAUUUCAUUCUUAUUACAAAACAAACAGCAAGUGAUCCAUGUAAAAAUAGCUAUGAUGUAUGACAUAAGGCAGGGCCAGAACAGACAUUUUACCAUAUGCUUAGAUUUCAUUCUUCUUUUUAGACAAUCCACACAGAAUUCUUCUCAGAAAUAAUGAUUUAGAAAUGGAUUCAUAGACAUUAACCUUCUGUUUUGUCAGUAUGUUCUAGCAGAGAAUUCAUUGUAUAAAUCCUUAUAAAGCAAUACCAGAAGUAAAUAGAUCAAUUUUAUUUUAAAGUAGCAUCAAACCAGGCUUUUGGUAGGAUAUCUUCAUUACAUAUAGUUUAACUUGUAUGGUACCAAGAGGGAGGAUGAUUUGGAAUGGAGUAUAAAGAUUUUUGAUAGAAAAUUCAGUUGACAAUCAGAAUUAUAUUAUUAGAUAAUGAACUGGUGAAAAUUGCUCUUUUUUCUUAUUUUUUGGUCUUAUAUAAAUGAUGAUAAUUUGGAGGUUAUGUGGCCACUGCAGCUUUGCAAGCACAAGACAUGUCUCUUCCCUCAUUCAAAGACAUUGUGCUACUAAUUUUGUGGAUUGGAGGAUGUGAUAACUAUUGACUCUCGGGUCUACCUUUCACUGCCAUUUGGAAAUAGAAAUAAAUUCUUAUGGGUCAUCAUGCAGUACCAUAUAUUUAACUCAUUUACAAAUCUUGCAAUUUCUGUUUAGAAAAUUCUGUUUUUAUAGACAUGCCUGAAGCAUAUUUUGUGUAGUUUUGUUCCAUCAUGGUUUGGUGUCAGAAUGGGAAGUCAUUGUUAGUCUACAGUGUAAUUUUGUUUGUGGAAACCUGUACUCUUGUAAUGUUUGUCACAUUGACAUGUGCUUGUUUGGAUUUGUGUUUUUGAUUUUCAUAAUCACAGAAGUGAAGUGCAUGCAAGUUCAUGUUCCCCUUUGCUUUAAUGUAACACUGCUGGAAGUUUCUAAUGAACUAAUUCAAAUUUUCAUUUGUUAUUGCAAAUUCUACCUUUCUUGAUGACUUUUGUUUAUUUAAAUUCUUCACUUGAGAAGUAGCUAUUUCAUUAGCUCCUAUUCCUGAAGUACUGUGUGUAUUUCAUAUGAUGAACUAUAAUUUUUUGAUUGUAGGUACAAGUAUUUUACUUGCAAGAUGGAUUUGUAUUACUGAUUUGUGAAAAGUAUUAAAGUAACAUGUAUAGGAUUAUAAGACAGAUUCUGGAAUUGAAUUUUCUGAUUAUAAAAAGAUUUUUCAAAAUGUAUUCCUCCCAGUAUGUUGUAGAGGGUGGAUGUCUUGUACAGUUCUGGCACUAAACCAUCCUCAGAAUGUACAUAUUUCUGUUCAUAUCAUCUGUACUUAUAUGUUCUAUGUGUUAGUGUGUGUGAUCAAAUGAGAGAAAGUGCAAAAUUUUAUGUGCACUAAUGUGUACAUGCAUCCUUUGCAAUUGAGGGACUGCCUAUAAUUUAACUCUUUGGAGUCACUUUAUAAUUUAAUAUUGUAUAUGCUUAUUACAUGUUAUUUUGUAAGUAAUUGUAUAUCAUUGUUGACUUUUUAAACUAUUUAUCAGUACUGGAACCUAAUGGUUGCAGUUGAUCAUGACUCCUACUUUGGAAGAAGUGUGACAGUACUGGAUGCCUCAUUGUAGAAGUUUGUACAUAUAUAGUUGAAUUUUCAGUAAACUUUUGUAAAUACAAUUAAUGUUGAGAUUUGAUGUUCUCAGAGCAGUGAAUAUGUCAUUUGUAGUCUUCUGGGUUGUCAUGUCAUGUAGUGUUGUACAUGGUUACCAACAUUCCUCCAAAACAUCGGUAGCCACCUACAAAGAGUACACUUUAUCACAACCCAGAAGACCACAGAUGACAGAAAUUAAUGUUGUUUCCAUUGCAAUAGUUUAUAUUUUUACAGUAUAUGUUUUGAAUGUACUCAGAUGUGAAUCGUACUAUCGUUAGUGUGUACAACAUCGCAGAGCGUGCAGAUGCAACGGUAGUGGACAGUUUUAGAUAUAUUUUUAAUGAAACACUUCAGUUAUCCAAAUAUUGUGUUGGUGAUAAACUUUGUGUAUAUUAAACACUGGGGAAAAUCUUUGGUUGUAUAUACCAGUCACUGACACACAAGUUAAUUUCUUAGAAUUGUUUUCAAAACCCCGCCUCGAGUAACAAAUGUAUUAAUAUUAAAUUGUGAGUGUAUGAUUCUAUUUCUCGCCAAAAUAGAUAGAACUGAAAAAAGUGUUGUUUUAUUCAUGAUACAGAGAAUGAACAACCGAAUGCCAAUGUGAUAUUUUCUGUAAAUACAAACCAAUAACUACAAAUAAUUACAUUUCUCAUAUUAUGCAAGUUGAAUAUUCAAAACUUUUCAGAAAAAUGUAAUAGUAAUUCAGUCAGACUCAUUUAGGAAAAUGCUUGACAGUGGCAAAUAAAGCCAAUUAUAAACAAGCACUAGAAACAAAACAAAUUAUUUUAAAAAAGCCAGUUAUACUGUAUAAUAAAAUUUAGAUGUAACUGAUAAUAUAGGAAACAGGGUCCAGAUGUAUUACAUAAAAUCUAAAGGGAACAGACAGCAGAAAUGUUAAAUACAAGUAAGAUUAUAAAAUUUCAGUAAGCAAAAAAAAAAUCUUAAAAGUAAUUUCGUGCAGAUCUAGCUGGGGGACUGACCUUGAGAUGAUGCCAUAUAUUAAAAGUAAGGUAGUUCAAUUGCCCUAGUAAGUGUAUGUAGACUAACAGAAUUCAGAAUGCAAGCAGUUAAUUUUGUUUUGAAAACUGAAGAAUAAGGAGUAGAAAGUUUCAGUCUAGCUCAUAGUUAUUGUCACAGCGCAUAAAAUGCUGAUAUAUUAUGAGGCUGAAAAUUUUGAUUGAACUGUUUCAUGUUUGGAUGAAUCUCUGUAAUGUAGUUCCAGGCAACAGAAACAUGCUGAAGUUUUGACUGCACAUGGGUGGUAUACAAAACUCAAAGGCUCUUAAUAAUAAUUAAUUAUGAUAAUAACUGUAACUUAGCAUGUUUUGUUCAAAUAUUUCUAUCAGUACACAAAGGACAGGAUAUCAAACAGAGUAAUACUUUGGAAGUUUAAUGUUUUGUAUAAAGUUUCUUUUUGAAUAUUUCCAUUGCUUAAAAGUUUUUGGACAUAAUCUUGAAUGCAGAUAUGGCUGUCUUCUGGGAUGAUAUGAUAAUUCUGAUGAUGGAGGCAGUAAGCCUGUCUCAAAUACGGGUUAAUAUCUACUAGACUACGUAGCGCAACAUCAUCUUUACAUAUGUCACUAUGAGAACCUGAAAUCUCACAUAGUAUUGAAUGUAUGUGCUGACAAAAUGUUUGUAAUUUACAGCAUAUAAAGGACAAUUCAAUACAUACAAUUUUUAGGUUAGUUUUGAAAUCAGUCACCAGUCAAAGAAUUGUGUAUCUGAAGAACUGUAAAAGGUUAGAGGUUUGUUAUCCAGUGUCACCACAAGGGAGUAAAGGAAACUGAUGUAAAUAUAUUAUGAUAAGUUAGGUAGUUGUAUUAUUUAUAACAAUUUGAUGUCGCAUUAUUCACAGGCAGAAGUGACUGUAAGUAUUACCUGUUUCCUGAUUUACUGUUGUCAAAAUUUCAGAUUGCAUUCAGUGAUGGCUCAUAAUAAAUUAAGAUAAUCAGCGAGGUAUUUUAAAAUGUUAUGUUUCUUUUUUGAACAUUUUAGAGCUUAUUUAGUCAAUCAAACUUAUUACUUUAUUAUAGGAGUUGUGUAGUUGGAUAAUUAAAAUUUGUCAUCUUUG